GGCAUGGUGGCUUAGUGGAUUUCACAUUUGUCUCGCACGUCCAGGGUUGGGGGUUCAAAUCUCGCCUCUGCCC